CUCUCUUUGCCUGCUGCCAUCCACGUGACUUUCUCCUCCGUGCCUUCUGUCAUGAUUGUGAGGUCUCCCCAGCCACAUGGAACUGGUAAUACUGCACCUUCAAUUGACUUAUGAAGAAACUAGCUCAGAUUGGAACAACAGCCAGGACAGUCACCACCAAGGGGACUUGCCCCACUGGAGAAGAGACCGGAGUGGGAGAGAAACUGUUACAGCCAAUCACUUCCUUCCAGGAAAAAAAAAGACGCAAAUAACAACACAAAAAAACGUGAUCUAAUAGACAAUCCAGAUAUAAAGAACACAAACCCUUUUCCCUACAAUUUAACCAAAUGCUAAAAUGCACCAGGAAACACAGGAUACUACAGAGAUAAAGAUUUGGCCAGCAGAUUAUCAACCCCAGGAAAAGAAAUCCAUUUCUGUAGCAUGCUAUGCUGUUGGAGGCACACGUCACACUUCUUAAUUCAAGGACAGAAAAGCACAAACUAAAAUGCACACUGGAGUAUGACUCCCCCUUCUCUAUCUGCUAAAGCGCUUCGCAUGUGACUUUCAAUCUCUAAGCUGGGAAUCAAUCAGGCAGCCCAGCCUCCUAUAUUUUCUAGUUGUAUUGCUUUGAGCAUCAAAUUUAACCUCUGUGCACCUCAAUUUCUUCAGCUGGAGACAAAGAAAGUGGCUGCACUGUGGCAGAGUGUUUGCAAAUGUUAAUCAUGGUUAUGGUAGCAUUCUACCUUGUCUUACAGAUGGUUGCCUAAAAAGGUAGGAAACUGUUCACGAAAAAGUCUCAACCGGUCCUAGAGUGAUCAGAAUGACAGCGCUGAAAUAAGGAGGGCAGUACCUCUUAUUCCAGAGAAGUGGGGAGCAGAGAGGAAGAUGGAGUGGAAAGGGGCGAGGCAAGGCCCUCCUGAAAUACCUCAACCCAAAUCUUCAAGAAAUCCCCAAGUCCUCACAGUGCUUUUUGUGGAUUUUUGUGGAAACCGGUAAAAGGGGCUGAUUUGCUGACCCCAGUGGGUAGAAAACAGAGACUGUCAAGAGAACAGAAGAGAAGGCAGAAAGGGGAUGGGGAAGUGGGGUUCGCCAUGUUCACGAGCUCCUGGAGCCACAGGGCCCCCCAGGAACAACAGAGCUGAGACUGGGUGGCCUUGUUUCUGGCCCAAUUCCCUGGGACCACCACCCUGGAAGGACACUUGAGCCCUACUCAAGGACCCACCACAACAUCUCAGCAUUGUCGGUCCUUAAAUGCCAAGGUUUGUGCUCACCAUUUCCAUCCUUAAGAUUCUCACAGGGAAGAACCCACACAACAGCUUUGUCCCUGCGACUCUGGGUGAGUUUCUGACACUGGCCUGGGCUCCCGUUUUGCCCGUCACCAACUUCUCACAGUAUAACUAUCCAAGAGAAGUAGCAUUUGAUGUCAGGGAAUCAAAAGGGCUAAGGCUCGGGAGGCCAAGGCAGGUGAAUCACUUGUAAUCAGGAGUUCGAGACCACCCUGACCAACAUAGUGAAACCCCAUCUCUACUAACAAUACAAAAAAUUAACCAGGUGUGGUGGCAGGUGCCUGUAAUCCCAGCUACUCAGGAGGCUGAGGUAGGAGGAUCACUUGAACCCAGGAGGCAGAGGUUGUGGUACGCCAAGAUCAUGACACUGCACUCCAGCCUGGGUGACAGAGUGAGACUCCAUCUCAAAAAAAAAAAAAAAAAAGGCCUAAGGCUUACUCAGGGUCAUCUAUGGUUUGCCAAGCAGAGUUCAAUCCAAUCAACAAAACCCUCACUGCCCACUUUUCCAAAACCUGAUAUAGUCAGUCACUAGUAGCUGCCAUUUGCUGUUUUGCCUUCUAUUAAAAAAAAAAAAAAAAAAAAAACCAUCCAAUUCCCAGAAGUCAAAGGCAAUUCCUUCCCUUUUCUGUGUCUGUGAGACGGCUCUCUGUGGGAUUCCUUCCUGCUGCACCUCAUCCUUCCUGGAAGGGACUCUCAGAAAAUGUGCCUCCUCCUUACAGGAAAGGAAUUCCUCCCGAGGAACUGUGGACAUGAGGCAGCUUUGUGGAAUUUCCCUUCCACAGACUUCAGCCUAUUUUCUGGGCAAACUUAGCAGAAAUGACCAAAAUCCACUCGAGAGAGACAGCAACAAGGAGAGGGGAAGAGAUCCUAUUUUGGCUUCUUCAAAUGGACCAAUUUUCUCUUUAAAAUAUUUAUUUUAAGGAAAAACAAGGACUACAUUAUAUUUUAAAGGGGGAGAAGGAAGAGGAUUUUGAGUUGCUAAGAGAACAGAGCCAUCUCUUUUCUUUUAAUACUGGAUGCUAAGAACUUGCACAGGGUUUUCCCAAAAGCCAGAUAGUUCAGGUAAUUUGCAUGUGGCUGUAAAAGAGAAAGUUCAGGCCAGGCACUGUGGCAACAUGGUGAAACCCCAUCUCUACUAAAAAUACAAAAAUUAGCUGGGUGUGGUGGUGCAAGCCUGUAAUCCCAGCUACUUGGGAGGCUGAGGCAGGGGAAUCACUUGAAUCUGGGAGGUGGACGUUGCAGUGAGCCAAGAUCACACCACUGCACUCCUGGGCGACAGAGACUCUCUCAAAAAAAAAAAAAAAAAAAAAAAAAGAGAGAGAGAAAGUUGAGAGCAUAAGUCUGAGUGAUUCUGCCUGAAAGAACAGAACAGCUUACACUGGACAGGCUUUUGCCCAAGACACACCUCAUCUGGCAUUGAGAAACGAACACCAACAAUAAUGAGUGACAGAAUGUUAAGAACAAUAAUUAUACAGACUUGGACCUCCCAGACUGCUUGUCUGUAGUAAUUCAGAAGGAAGCAAAGUAUUCUGAAGUGUUUAUGAAGAUUGGUUCCACAUCUGAAGAAUUUUAGUAAUCUUACCCAAACUCAACCCAAGAAAUAUGAGGAAAAGAGGGAGUAGUUCUAUAAUAAGCAGGUGGAAUAGAGGGUCAAACUCCUUGGCGAGUUCAGUCUAACAGAGGACACAUUACUGCCCUACAAAGCAGCUCUGGAAAAUGACAACCAGUGGCACUAACUCCAGGCAAUAUCUUUGUGAGGCUUGUGGGCUGUAAUAUAGUCUGCUCAGGCUGCCAUAAAAAAAAAAUCACAAUCAGGCCAGGCACUAUGGCUCACACCUGUAAUCCCAGCACUUUGGGAGGCCAAGGAGGGCAGAUCACCUGAGGUUAGGAGUUCGAGACCAGGCUGGCCAACAUGGCAAAACCCCGUCUCUACUAAAAAUACAAAAAUUACCCGGAUGUGGUAGCACGCACCGGUAGUCCCAGCUACUCGUCAGGCUGAGGCAGGAGAAUUGCUUGAACCUGGGAGGGGUGGAGGUUGCAGUGGGCUGAGAUCACACCACUGUACUCCAGCCUGGACAACAGAGCCACUGCACUCCAGCCUGGGCAACAGAGAGAGACUCCAUCUUAAAAAAAAAAAAAAAAAAUCCCCGUCUUCAAAUACAAUCACAUUCUGAAGUACUAGAGAUCAGGACUCCAACAUGCGAACUUUGGGGGGACAUAAUUCAGCCCGUAAUAUGGGUGAUAAAGGAGCAGGUCCAGACUUAGAGAAACAAGGACUCCCUGGGUCAAGCUCUGGAAGUGAAAGGCUUCUUCAAAGACAGGAAAGUCCCACUGAAGGUGGCUUUGGAAGUGCACCCUUGCAGCACAGCAACCUUCUUGAUUUGCUCAAGAGCAGGGGUUCUGACAGGUCUCAAAGCACUUUGUUUAAUGAAACAGAAUCGAAAAUACCAGUGUGUCACAUGUUUCCUAAGACAGGACACUGUUUCUUGAAACUUUUACUAAAGUAUGUUUUUCUUUUAUUUUUUUAUUUUUUAUUUUUUUUGAGAAGGAGUCUUGCUCUGUCGCCCAGGCUGGAGUGCAGUGGCACAAUCUCGACUCACUGCAACCUCUGCCUCCCGGGUUCAAACAAUUCUCCUGCCUCAGCCUCCUGAGUAGCUGGGAUUACAGGUGCACGCCAUCAUGCCUGGCUAAUUUUUGUAUUUUUAGUAGAGACAGGGUUUCACCAUGUUGACCAGUCUGCUCUCAAACUCCUGACCUUGUGAUCUGCCCACCUUGGCCUCCCAAAGUGCUGGGAUUACAGGUGUGAGCCACCGUGUCCAGCCUAAAGUAUGUUAAAUAUGUUAUGUGUGAGAGAGAGAAAGAGAAUAUAUCUCUUGGUCAUUACAUAUGUAAAACUUGUAGAACGUGAUCAAAAUGUUUAAAAACUGGCCAGGCACAGUGGCUCAAGCCUGUAUCCCAGCACUUUGGGAUCCCAAGGCAGGUGGAUCACAAGGUCAGGAAUCAAGACCAUCCUGGUCAACACAGUGAAACCCCAUCUCUACUAAAAAUACAAAAAAUUAGCCUGGCGCGGUGGCACGCACCUGUAGUCCCAGCUACUUGGGAGGCUGGGGCAGGAGAAUCGCUUGAACCUGGGAGGCGGAGGCUGCAGUGAGCUGAGAUAGCGCCACUGCACUCCUGCCUGGGCAACAGAGCAAGACUCCAACUCAAAAAAAAAAAAAAAAGUUUAAAAACUGGUCCUGUGGCAGUGGGUCUCAAACAUCAGCAUGCAUCAGAAUCACUUGGAGGACUGAUUAAAACACAGGCUGCUGCUGAUGCUGCUAAUCCUAGAGCCACCUUGAAGUUUUUCUGUGGUUUUUUUUUUUUUUUUUUUUUUUUUUUUGAGACAGGGUCUUGCUGUCUCCCAGGCUGGAGUGCAGUGGUGCAAUGAUACCUCACUGCAGCCUUGAACUCCUGGGCUCAAGCAAUGCCCCCAUCUCAGCCUCCCAAGCAACUAGGACUGUAGCUAGCUCCUAACUCAUUCCCUCCAUUCCUGCCCUCCCCUAACUUUAUAUUGCAGCCAGAAGGAUAUUUUUUCUGAAGAGCAUCUCAUGCUGAGUGGCAGCAGAAUGCAGAGAUUAAGAGAGGGGGCCAGGCACAGUGGCUCACACCUCUAAUCCCAGCACUUUGGGAGGCCGAGGUGGGUGGAUCACCCGAGGUCAGGAGUUCAAGACCAGCCUAGCCAACAUGGAGAAACCCCGUCUCUAUGGGCGUGGUGGUGCAUACCUGUAAUCCCAGCUACUAGGGAGGCUGAGGCAGGAGAAUCACUUGAACCCAGGAGGCAGAGGUUGCCGUGAGCCGAGAUCUCGUCAUUGCACUCCAGCCUGGGCAACAAGAGCGAAACUCCGUCUCAAAAAAAAAAAAAGAGUGGCGCCAGGUGCAGUGGCUCACGCCUGUAAUCCCAGCACUUUGGGAGGCCGAGGCAGGCAAAUCAUCUGAGGUCGGGAGUUCGAGACCAGCCUGACCAACAUAGAGAAACCCCGUCUCUACUAAAAAUACAAAAAAAUUAGCCGAGCGUGGUGGCAUGUGUCGUAUGCCUGUAAUCCCAGCUACUGGGGAGGCUGAGGCAGGAGAAUUACUUGAACCUGGGAGGCAGGUUUUUUGUUUUUUGUUUUGGUUUUGUUUGAGAUUUUGGUUGUUGUUUUUUGGGGUUUUUUUGAGACAGGGUCUCACUGUGUUGUCCAGGCUGGAGUGCAGGGGUGCGAUCAUGUGUCACUGCAGCCACAACCUCCUGGGCUCAGGUGAUCCUCCCACCUCAGCCUUCCUGAGUAACUGUUACUACAGGUGUGCACCACCAUGACUGGCUAAUUUUUGUAUUUUUUGUAGAGACAAGAGUUUCACCAUGUUGCACAGGCUGUUCACAAACUCCUAGGCUCAAGCUAUCCACCUGCCUCAGCCUCCCAAAGUGCUGGGAUUAUAGGCAUGAGCCACCUUGCCCAGCCAACUGAGCCACUUUGUGCCAGGACUAGGUCAGGUACUUGGGACAUAUACAGGCAAGGACACUGCCCACAGGGAACUGACAGUGUCUAGCAGCUACACAGAUGACACGGCCUUUUCGGCAGACACCCCUGUCCCCUGUGCUUGGCAAACAGCAGAGACUCAAAAAUGUAUAUGGUUUGACUCCCACUGGAACAUAAGCCCCUUAGGGCAGGGACCAGGGUCACUGUAUUCCCAGCACCUAUAAUCAAGAGGUACAUGACGCUGCAGCUGAGAGCAGGGACUCUGUGCUAAGUUACCUACCUGGUUUGAACCUAGGCUCUGCCACUCAAAGGCUGUGUGACCGUGGGAAAUAAUAGUACCCACCCCAAAGGUUUGUUAUUAGUAUUUAAUAAUAUUUAUUGGUAAGGUACUUAGAAUAGCCCCCCUGCCUACAGGAAGCAGUACAUAAUUAUAAUGUCUAAAUAUACAGUAGUUCCAGGCCAGGCAUGGUGGCUCAUGUCUGUAUUCCUAGCAGAAUGAGAGGCCGAGGAAGGAGAAUCAUUUGAGUCCAGGAGUUUGAGACCAGCCUGGAUAACAUAGUGAGAUCUCGUCUCUACAAAAAAUAAACAAAAGUAAGCCAGACAUGGUGGCACAUGCCUGCAAUCCCAGCUACUCAAAAGGCUGUGAUUAGAGAAUCACUUGAGCCCAGGAGGUAGAGGCUGCAAUGAGCUGAGAUCACACCACUGUACUCCAGCCUGGGCAACAGAGUGAGACUCCGUCUCUUAAAUAAAUAAAUAAAUAGGGGCCAGGCGUGGUAGCUUACACCUGUAAUCCCAGCACAUUGGGAGGCUGAGGCGGGAGGAUCACUUGAGGACAGGAGUUCAAGACCAACCUGACCAACAUGGUGAAACCCCAUCUCUACUAAAACACAACAAUCAGCUGGGCAUGGUGGCGGGUGCCUGUAAUCCCAGCUAUUUUGGGGGCUGAGGCAGGAGAAUCACUUGAACCCAGGAGGCAGAGGUUGCAGUGAGCCAAGAUCACACUACUACACUCCAGCCUGGGCAACAGAGCGGGACUCCAUCUCAAAUAAAUAAAUAAAUAGCAGUUCCAUAUCCUCUGAAUAAUGGACUAGAAGUUGGUUAAUGGAUGGGUUUUCAGGGAGAAUUUUAGCAGCCGAGCUGAGAGGUAGGUACUCUAGCCAGGGUAUAUAACAUGAGCUAAGGGAACAGGACAGCAAAUAUAAGGUGUGAUCAGGGGAAAGGCAUCAUAUAUUGACUGUCCAGGAACAAUGGAUAUCUGAGAAUGUAGGAAAGCUAAGUUAGGACCAGGAAAAGGAGAGUAUUAAAUGCCAAAGAAGAUGCCACCAAAGGUUCUGGAACAGAAAGCAGCAGAGCUAUGCCUUGUAAAGAUAAAGCCUGCAGUGUAUUGACUGGGUUGGAAUCUGGAAUCAUUGCGUGCCUCCAGUCAAGACGUGGCAACUGACCAACUACCUUUUAUCACUGACCAGACUCUUCCCUACGUGCAGAUAACUGAGGACGCAAGCCUUAGUUACUGGGUGUGGUGGUGCUAUUAACGGAAAAAGGGAAGUCAGCCAGCAAAGGCUGACUGGGGCAAUUUCAGCCUUGUUGCUCUGCUGUGAAACUGCUUUCCAGAAAAACUUUUUUUUUUUUUUGAGACGGAGUCUCACUCUGUCACCCAGGCUGGAGUGCAGUGGCACAAUUUCGGCUCACUGCAACCUCCGCCUCCCAGGUUCAAGCGAUUCUCCUGUCUCAGCCUCCCCAGAAGCUGGGAUUACAGGCGCCCACCACCACACUCAGCUAAUUUUUGUAUUUUUAGUAAAGUCAGGGUUCCACUAUGUUGGCCAGGCUGAUCUCCAACUCCUGACCUCAGGUGAUCCGCCUGCCUCGGCCUCCCAAAGUGCUGAGAUUACAGGCAUGAGCCACAGUGCCCAGCCCAGGAAAACUUCUUAAAGAUGUAAUAAUAACGCACCUUAUUAUUUUCCAAGUACUUCCAUAGAUAGUGGCCCACUUCUGAGUAUGAAUUAAAUUUCCCUUUGUGGCCUUUGUUUUUUUAAUAGAUCUUCAUUUCUGGGGGGACUUACAAACAGGUGACUUCUCCAUUCACCAGAGAUGGGACAUUAUACACUGACCUACUUCCAUAUUCACUUUCCCUGCUUGAUUGGAGGUGAGGGAGAAAAAUUAGUGUAUAAGGCCGGGCGCGGAGGCUCACGCCUGUAAUCCCAGGACUUUAGAAGGCUGAGGCAGGUGGAUCACCUGAGGUCAGGAGUUCGAGACCAGCCUGGCCAACAUGGUGAAACCCCUUGUCUACUAAAAAUACAAAAAUUAGCCAGGUGUGGUGGCACACGCCUGUAAUCCCAGUUACUCAGGAGGCUGAGGCAGGAGAAUUGCUUGAACCCCGAGGCAGAGGUUGCAGUGAGCUGAGUCCAUGCCAUUGCACUCUAGCCUGGGCAACAAGAGUGAAACUCUGUCUCAAAAAAAAAAAAAAAAGAAAAGAAAAGAAAAAUAAGUGUAUAGAACUUUAUUGUUUCAUUGACCGGGCACGAUGGCUCACGCCUGUAACUCUAGCACUUUGGGAGGCCAAGGUGGGCAGAUUGGCUGAGCUCAGCAGUUUGAAACCAGCCUGGGCAACAUGGUGAAACCUAUCUCUAAUAAAAUACAAAAAAUUAGCCCGGUAUGGUAGCACAUGCCUAUAGUUUCAGCUACCUGGGAGGCUGAGGCAUGAGAAUCACUUGAACCCAGAAGGUUGCAGUGAGCCAAGAUUGUGCCACUGCACUCCAGCCUGGGCAACAGAGCAAAACUCUGUCUCCAAAAAAAGAGAACUGGCCAGGGAUGGUGGCUCACGCCUCUAAUCCCAGCACUUUGGGAGGCUAAGGUGGGCAGAUCACGAGGUCAGGAGUUCAAGACCAGCCUGGCCAACAUGGUGAAACCCCGUCUCUACUAAAAAUACAAAAAUUAGCUGGGCAUGGUGGCAGGCACCUGUAAUCCCAGCUACUCAGGAGGCUGAGACAGCAGAAUCGUUUGAAUCUGGGAGGUAGAAGUUGCAGUGAGCCAAGAUCACGCCAUUGCACUCCAGCCUGGGUGGAAGGGCAUGACUUCGUCUCAAAAAAAAAAAAACUUUUUCCUUAAAAUACACCUCUUGGAGCCAGUCCCAGAUACUUGGGAGGAUCAGGAAGGAGGACCUCUUGAGGCCAUAAAUUUGAGGAUGUAGUGUGCCUGUGAAUAGCCACUACACUCUAGCCUGGGCAACACAGAAAGACCUCAUAAAUAAAUAAAUAGGCCAGAUGAGGUGGCUCACACCUGUAAUCUCAGCACUUUGGGAGGCCAAGGCUGGCAGAUCACGAAGUUAGGAGAUCAAGACCAUCCUGGCUAACACAGUGAAACCCCG
rnacentral:lncRNA from 1 species